AAGCAGGAGUGGCAUUACCUCCACAUAGAGGUCUCUCUCUCUUUCUGUCGCUCUCUCUAUCUCGCGCGCGCUCUUAUCACUCGCGCGCUGUGCAGCUGAACUACGGCGUUGGCAGAGAAUAUAAAAAAAUCUGCCUCUUUGCUUCAAGCCUUGGAAGAAUAUUUUGGAACGGAAAUCAGAGGAGCUCGUGGUCCUACAUCCCAGUGGGUUCUAUGCUGUGAGUCUCUACAGCAGUACUGAAUCCCAGUAGUCUGGACCACAACCACAAACAACCAGUGACGGCUGUAGGACCACUCCACUAGACCGAAACUCAACCACAGACCGUUAGAGGACUUCUCCCUGUUCCACUACCUCACUUACCAAAACCACUGUGGCACGGGAGGAAGAGGAGGAAGAUAGAAGAUCAUGCCCAGAAGGAGAGUAAAUCAUCAGUGAAGAGAAGAGGUCAUGCUCCUGGAUUAAGAAGACAGACAGACAGCAGACCAAGAGACAGACAGGCAGAUCAGGUAAAGGCAAACUGAGCAAACUGUCUUGUUCCUGUUUGUAACGUUAUGUUCUAAAGGCUCCGACUCAGGAACAGCUGUGCAGUGUUAGUUAAGCAUCGUUGGAUGUUCUCUUCUGUCAGGGUUUGUCAGGGCCCUAUUCAUUAGGGCACACGGUAAAAAACAAAGACGAGCGUUUCUUAUUGGACAAGUUCAGAUAGUCCCUCCCUGUUUGUCUGUUUUCUUGCCACUUGGUGCCUAAUGUAUAUGACCCAGAUAUUUGUAAACCAGUGGGAAACAGUGGCCCUUACAUUACCCUAGGGGGUAAUUGGGGUUAGGGGUACGGUUCGCCGUGGGGUCAAGGGGUCAAGUUUUCUUUGUCUGGGCUUCACAUUAGCUGCCAUGUCCUUAACCAGGCGGUAAGGGAGUUUCUGAUUGACCUAAGGUGGCCUAAGGGUCUGGGCCUAAGGGUCUGGGCCUAAGGGUCUGGGCCAAGGCAGGUCACGUUACAGUGCCAACCU
rnacentral:lncRNA from 1 species